AGCACUUGUGUUUGUUUUUAUUUGUGAACAAAGACUUAUAGACAAGUGUGGGGAAAAUAAUCCUCAUUUGGAACCCAGAACUCAUUGAUCACCUUGAGUUUUUAUACAGAUAAGAAAGAACUUG